UACGUAGGGUGCAAGCGUUGUCCGGAAUUAUUGGGCGUAAAGAGCUUGUAGGCGGUUUGUCGCGUCUGCUGUGAAAUUUCGGGGCUCAACCCCGAACUUGCAGUGGGUACGGGCAGACUAGAGUGUGGUAGGGGAGACUGGAAUUCCUGGUGUAGCGGUGAAAUGCGCAGAUAUCAGGAGGAACACCGAUGGCGAAGGCAGGUCUCUGGGCCACUACUGACGCUGAGAAGCGAAAGCAUGGGGAGCGAGCAGG
rnacentral:rRNA from 1 species